GAUAAAUGUAAUAGUAAUUAACUCUCACAGCAGAUGAAAGAAAAAAAAUGAAGGGGUCCUCAAGUAAAGGGAACUAACCUGUGCUACCUUGACAGAAGACACCGGAAGCUAUUCAAAUGAGAAGAGAUGGAUGGAUAAUUCUGACGUUCUCAGCCUCAGUCUGGAGAGGGAUCUGGAAGGAGCUGGGAGCCUGCUCAGCUGUUGCUUGACGGACUGCUUUUCAUCCAUUUUGAGAGGAAGCCUCAGAAGCUGAGCUCUCGGGCGGGAAUGGAGGACGAAGUGAGGUGCAAGGGAGCAUGUGGCCCAGAAGAGGCAUACAAAUCCUGCCUACACACUCUAUGCGAACAGCCGGAGCUGACUCACGGGCAGCACAGGAUGAGACGUUUCUCGGAGAAGAGGGAGGGGUGUGGUUAUCGUUGUCAUUUCACCGUAGCAGAUAGAACGCUGUCUGGAGACACCGCCCUUGCUGGAAAAUUGAUUAAGGUCUGGAUUUGGAAGGUGGGCAUUUCCUCUAUUUGCAGUUACCGUAUUAGGUUUUCACUUAGGGGGGGGGGGGAAGGAAAAGAAGAAACAACCCUGUUUCUCUUGUUCCUGUUACCUCCCUGUGUCACAGCAAUUCUCUGCAUGAGAACUGCUGCUUCUUUUUUUUCCUCCCCCUCUAGGAACAGUUGCUUUAGGAGUGAUUCUGGUAACCUGAUACCACUUGAUGUAUUUUUGCUGGAAUAUGGAGCCUACAUAAAUUGCACCAUAAGCAAAUUUCUUUAUAAUGGAAGGAUCGGGAAGCUGCAGCUUGGCAGGCCGCUUCGUUGGUGUGUGUGUGCUUUUUUUUUUUAAGGUGGAUUUUUCAGACACUUCUUAACAGGCGGUGUUUGCUAAAAAGGAGAAUUUUGCUGAAAGAUAUGGGGAAUACGUGGUUGCCACUGUUUGUACAGAGCAUCCCACCUGUAGGCAAAGAGCCCUAAGUUCAAAACAGAUGCUGCCUGCCUGCCAAAUACCGCUCCAUAACCUGAAAGGAAAACCAUUGUUGUUUGCCCUUUCCUAUUUGUCUGACUAAUUACUGCUGGUGUCACAGUUGCCCAGAGGGCCUUACUGAAAACAAAUCCCAUCCUCACAGUCUCAAAUGCAGACUUCUUUAGAUUCAGG
rnacentral:lncRNA from 1 species